UCUAUUCAAAUCAAAAUCAUGAUUUGGUUGUUUUUUUUUGGUGGACUCCAUGUCCUUCCUUCCGUUUGAAAGUAGAUUCGCAGCCUUUGUUGAUGUCUUGCGAACUUUUUUCUCUCUUCUUGAAUAUCUUUUUAUUUAUUAUUUACCCAUCAAAACAAAAUGAAAAGUACAUUUCUGAGAAACAACUACUAUCGAACUCCCAAGAAACUUUAGUCAGCUAAAAUAGAUUCAAACCGGUUACUCAUCAUUAUUGACGUAAAGACAGGUCGUUCUGUUCUCUCUCCUCUUUCUCUUCUCUUCCUCACAGUAAAAACCCUAAAAAACAACCUUCUCUAAUGGCGGCAAAACCCAUUAGAAAGUAAAUCUUAGGACAGUUUGGGGACAAAAGUUAGAUCAAGGGGUGGGUGUUAUGGAUCUGUGGAAUCUGAUGUGAAAUACUAUUGUUUUGAUGGCAUAAUAAGUCUAUUCCUUGUAUUCUGCUCUGUUUCAAUUUAUGUUUAUAGCUUUCUUGUUCUUUCUAUGGCGGUCUCUUCUCUCUGCAUAUUUCUUGAAUCGAUUUAUCUAGGGUGUUUAUUUGUUUGUUUGUUGCUUUCUUUUAAGUUGAAUGAUGGUAUUCUCUGCAGAUCUAAUUCUUUUUUCUCUUUUCCUCCUUUCUUCUCCUUCUUCUUCAGAUCGAUUAAAAUAGGAUCUGUAAGUUGGGGUUUGAUAAGAUGUCUUCAAAAAUUGAAUUGGGUUUUUAUAAAGAAAAUUGGUACCAAAAGGAAAUCAAAAUUUCUGAUCUAAGUAACCUUCUUCUUGUUUCUAUUCUCUCUGAUUUUGGUCAUGAAUCUUUUGUUUAAUGGGUGUUCUUUUCUUGCCAUGCUUCUUCUCUCCUGCUUUUUCUUAUAACUGUUGUUAAGAUAUGUGGUUCAAUUUUGAUGCGGAUUUUUCCUUAAAUCCUUGCUCUUGUUUUGAUACUUCUUCUCUGGUUCUUCUUAGUGGUGUUAUGUCUUCUUUACCCCUUUGUAUGUGAUUUGCUUAUGGAUACUUCUUAAGUUCUGUUUAUUCAUGUUGUUGUUCGCCUUAGUUCCUCGCUGCUCUAUGUUUCUGUUUGCUUGUUCUAUUGUUGUUUAAAUCUCCCUCUUUCUCCUUCUUAGUGCUCUCUUCCAUUUCUUUUCUCUAAUUUCUAAUUGUCUCUCUGUAUGAGAUUCGGUUCUAAUUUUUUCUCCUUUGUGUCUUGCUUUGUCUGCUUGUAUACCUCCUAUUUGUCCCUAUUUUCUUUAAAGUUUUAGAUCUUCCUUGAUUGCUUGAUUUUGCUCGAUCAUUUUAUAGUCUGAUGUGCUUGAUAAAUAAUAGUCAGAAUGAAGAACAUAACCUCAGUAUACAUCCUAGCCUCACUGAUCUGACUAAGCCCCCAGGAAAUUGAAGACUCCUGUGAAACAACAUGAUGCUGAAAUCAAUAUUGGUUAUGUUCUAUAUGGUUGUAUUUUUUCGAAAAUGCAACUUUCACCAUUCAAAUCUUCGAUUUGUUGCAAAGACUAAAUCGUCGUCGUCUGUCAUUAAGAAGAGAUCUCUUUCCUGUAUAGGCCGUCGUGACACUUUUAUCAGACUUGUUCGUGGUAGAAGGGCUCAGGAAUCCAUCUUGAUAGUUUUAUCGCGAGCUAAAACUCUCAAUCUUCACAACUUGUUUGUGAAUCAACACAUACAGCCAGUAUUAGAAGACUACUCAUUGGGUACCGAUGGAGAAAGAAUGUUUCCCAGUUUAAUGAAGAAUUAUAAAUGUUUGUGUUAUCUUUGCAACUUUAGUUUUAGGGUCUUCUAUGAAUGUAAUUUUUUUAUAUUAAGUAGUUUCAAUCCUGUUUUAUUUUUUUGGACACUUUGCGUUGUACUCUUUUCCCUUCGACAAUGCUUUACCACAAUGGGUUUUCUUUGUCAAGGUUUUAAUGAGGCAACAUAUGCAAGUCCGAACACAUUAGAUGACAACGAUGUAAGGGUUCCUAACACCCAAUGUUAGGCAGUUAUUAUGAAAUACCUAAUUCACAAAAAAAAA